GACGAACGCUGGCGGCGUGCUUAACACAUGCAAGUCGAACGAAGAGCGAUGGAAGCUUGCUUCUAUCACUCUUAGUGGCGCACGGGUGAGUAACGCGUAAUCAACCUGCCCUUCAGAGGGGGACAACAGUUGGAAACGACUGCUAAUACCGCAUACGAUCUAAUCUCGGCAUCGAGGAUAGAUGAAAGGUGGCCUCUACAUGUAAGCUAUCACUGAAGGAGGGGAUUGCGUCUGAUUAGCUAGUUGGAGGGGUAACGGCCCACCAAGGCGAUGAUCAGUAGCCGGUCUGAGAGGAUGAACGGCCACAUUGGGACUGAGACACGGCCCAGACGCCUACGGGAGGCAGCAGUGGGGAAUCUUCCGCAAUAGACGAAAGUCUGACGGAGCAACGCCGCGUGAGUGAUGACGGCCUUCGGGUUGUAAAGCUCUGUUAAUCGGGACGAAAGGCCUUCUUGCGAAUAGUGAGAAGGAUUGACGGUACCGGAAUAGAAAGCCACGGCUAACUACGUG
rnacentral:rRNA from 1 species